rnacentral:rRNA from 1 species
GAUGAACGCUGGCGGCGUGCCUAAUACAUGCAAGUCGAGCGAACGGACGAGAAGCUUGCUUCUCUGAUGUUAGCGGCGGACGGGUGAGUAACACGUGGAUAACCUACCUAUAAGACUGGGAUAACUUCGGGAAACCGGAGCUAAUACCGGAUAAUAUUUUGCACCGCAUGGUUCAAAAGUGAAAGACGGUCUUGCUGUCACUUAUAGAUGGAUCCGCGCUGCAUUAGCUAGUUGGUAAGGUAACGGCUUACCAAGGCAACGAUGCAUAGCCGACCUGAGAGGGUGAUCGGACACACGGGAACUGAGACACGGUACAGACUCCUACGGGAGGCAGCAGUAGGGAAUCUUCCGCAAUGGGCGAAAGCCUGACGGAGCAACGCCGCGUGAGUGAUGAAGGUCUUCGGAUCGUAAAACUCUGUUAUUAGGGAAGAACAUAUGUGUAAGUACCUGUGCACAUCUUGACGGUACCUAAUCAGAAAGCCACGGCUAACUACGUG